rnacentral:other from 1 species
AAUUACCUGCCCGAUACGCGGACCGUGCAAGAAUAACCCUACACUCAAAUACUCGGGAGCCCGGCUCCACAGACGGACUGCAGACCUCCCGGCGGCGGCUCGACCGCCGUUGGAAGAAGGGAGCGAGAAACCUGUGGGAGGGCACCCACCUGCUUUUACAGUAGCAGGUUAUUGAGAGCACGUUACGGUCGGGCGGGGAUUUU